rnacentral:SRP_RNA from 1 species
UCGAGCGAAGCAAUAAACCUGCAAUCCGCUAUAGCAGGGGUGAUGCCCGACCCGAGGCCUGACAGCGCUUGAGUGAAAGCGCGUAAGUGGUGUUGAGGGCCAGGUCUUGCGCAAUAAUGACCGAUGAACCGUGUCAGGGUCUGACGGCAGCAGCACUAAGUCGGCACCAUUAUGUGCCGCGAGGGUGCUUGGUCUGAGCCGGCUGCCCGUGGAAGCGAGGGUGACGAGGUCGACGGCGGGCGCACGA